rnacentral:rRNA from 1 species
AUUGAACGCUGGCGGCAUGCCUAACACAUGCAAGUCGAACGGCAGCACGGGAGCUUGCUCCUGGUGGCGAGUGGCGGACGGGUGAGUAAUGCAUAGGAAUCUGCCCAGUAGCGGGGGGACAACUUGGGGAAACUUAAGCUAAUACCGCAUACGCCUACGGGGAAAGCGGGGGACCGUUCGGGCCUCGCACUAUUGGAUGAGCCUAUGUCAGAUUAGCUUGUUGGUGGGGUAAAGGCCGUACCAAGGCGACGAUCUGUAGCUGGUCUGAGAGGACGAUCAGCCACACUGGGACUGAGACACGGCCCAGACUCCUACGGGAGGCAGCAGUGGGGGAAUAUUGCACAAUGGGCGAAAGCCUGAUGCAGCAAUGCCGCGUGUGUGAAGAAGGCCUGCGGGUUGUAAAGCACUUUCAGUAGGGAGGAAACAGUAGCCGCGGUAAAGUGACUACUG